rnacentral:rRNA from 1 species
CUUGCUUUCUCCGCCGGCGACCGGCGCACGGGUGAGUAACACGUAUGCAACCUGCCCCUGUCAGGGGGACAACCCGCCGAAAGGCGGGCUAAACCCGCGUACAUGCCACCGGGGCAUCCCGGAGGCAGGAAAGGCUUCGGCCGGACAGGGAUGGGCAUACGGCGCAUUAGGCAGUAGGCGGGGUAACGGCCCACCUAACCGACGAUGCGUAGGGGUUCUGAGAGGAAGGUCCCCCACACUGGUACUGAGACACGGACCAGACUCCUACGGGAGGCAGCAG